UACAUCAGAAGGAGGGGGGAUGGACUCGUGCUGUGCCUCAGCUGCUCUGAGAGCAUGGAUCAGCAGCUAUUGCCAAACACUUUCUUGGCUGCUAAUAGCACUUUUUCCUCUUCUUUGUGUGGCUGAUAGUAGGUAUUUAAAACGGCAACAGCGAAUCAGUCGAGUCUUCCUCACUGCAAGAUGCCUUCUUCUGCUCAUGUGGGGCAUGCACAAAAUCCGUAUCAUGCGCUCUCCUUGUUUUUGUUGAUACAGAAUGGAAAGAAUAGUAGGUUCGUUUUUUUUUUUACGGUGAGGUCAAAAUGAUGCACACAUCCCCAUCCUCCAGAUUUGGGACCAUCACAGACACUAUCAGCUUUUUCUUUCAAAUGUUUCCCCUCACAGUAAAGAAAAAAAAACUUACAGAGAAUUUUCUGUAUUAUUUAGGGGGAAAGUGGAAAAAUUAUCCCUCUUUUUCAGAUCAUCUUCAAGAUAGAACACAAUUGGUCCGCUGUCUGCUGGAAAGGUUAUGACUGUGGAUGCAAAUGAUUUUCUCGCUAACCAGAACACGGGCCGAGGGUCACGGGAGGUCACUGCCUCUCGCUGUGUGCCGGGAGCAGACACAGACGGUUAAUGACCGGGCACAGCAUCAAAGAGCCGCCAGGGUUCUGUCCAUAGAGAUGGUCAGCUGAGGACCAAGACGGCUGGGUCUAGUCACAGCUGACCACAUACAGUCCAUAUCAUAAGUAUUCACUCUCUUUGGAUGUGGUAUUAAAAUGGAUUUAAUUGUCUAUUAUUUUUGUAUCUACACAAAAACACUCUCUAAUGUAAAAGUAAAUUAAUUCAAUGAAUGAAAAAUGAAAAGCUAAUAUUAUAAACAUAUUUGGCAGCGAUUUUAGCUGUGAGUCUUUUGGGGUAAGUCUCUUAACGUUUUGCACACCUGUGCCAUAUUUGCCCAUUAUUCUUUAAAAAAAAUAUUCAAGCUCUGUCAAGUUGGUUGUUGUUAGACAGACAUUUUCAAGUCUUGCCAUAGUUUUUCAAGCAGAUUUAAGUCAAAACUGUAACUAGGCCACUCAGGUACAUUCACUGACUUCUUGGUAAGCAACUGAAAUGUAGAGUUGGCCUUGUGUUUUAGACUAUUGCCCUACUAACAGGUUAAUUUGUCUCCCAGUGUCUGGUGGAAAGUAGACUGAACCAGGUUUUCCUCUAGGAUUUUGCCUGUGGUACGGUCCAUUCUGUUUAUUUUUAUCCUGACAAACUCCCUAGUCCUUGAAGAUGAGAAGUCUACCCAUAACAUGAUGCAGCCACCAUCAUGCUUGAAAAUAUGGAGAGUAAUAUUCAGUAUCACCUGUUUAGUCCCUUGUUGCAAACAUGAUGCAUGUUUUGCUAUUUUUGUCCUAUACAAGCUUCCUUCUUUUCGCUCUGUCAUGUGGGUUAGUAUUGUAACUACAAUGUUGUUGAUCCAUCCUCACUUUUUUUUCAAAAAUCACAGCCAUUAACUACCAUGUUGUUGUGUUACUACCAUGUUGUGUUCAUGUUGCGUUGC